CUACAGGGACAGGGAGAGGAUGAACUCUGUAACAACAGAUGUAACCUUGGGAACAUCCGAAAAGGAUUCUGGCUGAGCACUGACAGUAGUACGAGUCAGCGUUUGGAUCGAGGAGAGCUGGAACUGAUUCAGAAGCACCCUCUCAUGCUGAGUGCUCUCAUCUCAUGCAGCUAGUUAUCCACUUCCCCUGGGCAAGGGCUUUUCACUGGACCGUCUGUCAGGACAGGAAUAGGACUAUCCAGGACACCUACAGCACCCGGUGUUCACAGGAAGGCCCAAGAAGAUCAUCAAGGACCUCAGCCAUCCGAGCCACGGUCUCUUCACCAUGCUACUAGAAGGUGAAGGCAGUACAGCUGCAUCAACGCUGGGACCGAGAGACUGAGAAACAGCUUCCAGUUCCUGUCAUCCUAUAUAACUACUGCUGUCCACUUCAUAUGUAUCUACUGUAUUCUAGUUCAUCCUAUAUAACUACUGCUGUCCACUUCAUAUGUAUCUACUGUAUUCUAGUUCAUCCUAUAUAACUACUGCUGUCCACUUCAUAUGUAUCUACUGUAUUCUAGUCAAGGAUCAUCCUAUAUAACUACUGCUGUCCACUUCAUAUGUAUCUACUGUAUUCUAGUUCAUCCUAUAUAACUACUGCUGUCCACUUCAUAUGUAUCUACUGUAUUCUAGUCAAGGAUCAUCCUAUAUAACUACUGCUGUCCACUUCAUAUGUAUCUACUGUAUUCUAGUUCAUCCUAUAUAACUACUGCUGUCCACUUCAUAU